rnacentral:rRNA from 1 species
CCCUUAGGUGUCCUGGGCCGCACGCGCGCUACACUGACAUGUUCAACAAGUUUCUCCUAGUUCGACAGGACUGGGAAAUCUUUGAACGCAUGUCGUGAUAGGGAUAGAUCAUUGCAAUUAUUGAUCUUGAACGAGGAAUUCCUAGUAAACGCGAGUCAUCAGCUCGCAUUGAUUACGUCCCUGCCCUUUGUACACACCGCCCGUCGCACCUACCGAUUGAAUGUUUCGGUGAAGAUUCCGGAUAGGACUGAUUUGAUUUAUUUCAUUUCUGACCUAAAAGCUAUCUAAACCUCAACAUUUAGAGGAAGGUGAAGUCGUAACA